UUCAUAGCAGAGGUGGAGCAUCGCUUACCUGACUGUGCCUGGACUCCCCGUACUUCCCAUUGAGAAAAUAUGACACAAAUUGUGAAAAUGGUAUACAGCAGCUCAGCUUUGGGAAACGUGAGUCCUGUCUGCUUAUGGAUGUAUCGAUUCAUGGGUAUUACACUUGUCUCCCAAGUUGCUUGCUGAUGCUUUCAAGGUCAGGUAAUAACAUUCUCCAAGGAACUAAGCGGAGUGGCUGUCCUCAUUUCUCCCCUGACCUGCAGGCUGGCUGGCUGGUUGCCUUGCUUCUGGGAGAUGGCCAGGCAGCCUGUUGCUCCCUGUGCCCCUCACCGACCAGGCAGCUCACUCCCUUUGUGGCAGCCUCAUGUCAAAACCCAUCAGAAUAAGAGACUAUUAAUGAGGAUGGGAAGAGACAGAGAAAAGAGGGAAACACCACAGUAAGAUAAAAACAGAUCAAUAGUGAAGCUAAACAGAGCAAGAGGUUCUGAAAGCAAUUCAGGAGCUGUUAGCUUCUCAACAAACACAGGGUUUCUGAUAAUCUCAGAUGGACACAAAAAGGAGAGAGAUGGACAAAAAGCCAGAGAAGCACAUCAAUGGAAAGCAAUAAGGAGGCUUUACCCAGCCAGAACUCAUCCUCCACGUUCCCGAAGCCAACACGGUAAUCAGCCCAUUUCCGGAAAAAAUCAGUUUGGCCAUUCUGCCGCCUCUGGAAUACCUAUGAAGGAAAUAAAAAAACAAAAAACAAACAAACAAAAAAACAAAACCCAAAGAGAUGCUAAGGAAAAUAAACUGUGAUAAGUAAAAUUGAUAUAACUGGGUUUUAUAUCUGCAAUGACAAAGAUGUCCAAAGAAGGAACAUUUCAGAGCAGAGCUCAGUAUUUACACAGCAGUUUUUGUAGGAGACACUCAGAGCAUUUCUCUUGAAGUGUAGAGGCCCCUGAUGAAUAGGCUCCAGUGUGAUGUUGACACUAAUUUGCACCCCUGCAAUGUAGAAAGGACUCAGGAUACAUAUCAAGCCCUAAAUAUCAGGGGAAAUAGGCUUGGCUCUCAAACGAAUCUUUUGCACUACAGAGUGCAGUAGAAAGCAUUUCUCACCAAAAGAACAGGA
rnacentral:lncRNA from 10 species